GGAAGUGUAAAAAAGGUCUAUAGGCAGUCAGCCCCUCCCCCGGGUCUGUGCUGACCGGUAUGCUCUGCUGGAGUGACUGAGUGAGCCGCCCACGUGCCCUGCAGUGCUCUGUGCUGUUUUUGAAGUGAUCUGCCCACGUGUCCUCCAGUCCUGCCCUGCAGUUCUUCUCUGAUGUUUUUGAAGCAGGAUGAACAAGAAAGAAAUGCCAGCAAAGAAAACGUUAAGGAUACCAACCCAGAAAAUGAAGGUCUGAGAGAACACCCCUCAACGGAAUGAGCAAUCUAAUCCAGACCAGGUCUGAGAGCUUCAGACUCUUUGAAACCUCAUUGGAGAGAGACUUCACCAUAGCCCAUCUUCACCACCAGGCCAGGCCAGCAGGAGCUCUUCCCUGGGUGUGGUGUGCUCGAGUCAUCGUUCUGCCUUGCUGCCAUGAACCACACAUCUAAACCACAUCGCAUGCAUCAGUUUCAUCCACUGUCCAAUCAUGUCCUCACUGUUGGAGUAUCAAAAUCCCUUUUGGUGUUCCUGGAAAUAAUCCCUCCGGAAAAGAAGGGAAGCGGAUCCAUCGACGCAAUCCGAACUUGUGUCCUGAGAUGUGCCACUCCACCUGGUUGGGAAAAAUUGUGGAGGUCAAGCUCAAGAAAGCGUUUGUCAACAAAUGUACAGCCAGAGCAGGAGGCUGGACGAGAAGACAUUAUUAAAGGAGCGUGUGUUUACAUGGAUGAAGAUCCAGAAAACCUGGUCCAGGAAUAUGUGGUAUGUAUAUAUUUGCACGUGAAUCAUAGCUUGAUUUUCUCUUUCUUUGUAGUUUAUUUAAGAUAUUUUUUCAAGUGGUUGACCUACAGAAAUGUUUUUUUACAGUCCUCCAUUUUGUUUUCAAUUACUAAAGGAAAUGUGGGUUUAUUUGUAUUUUUAACCAUCAACUCUGGGAAAUAUUAUGUAUUUGUUAAAUGUUGUAAAGUUAAUAUUUCUUCUUCACUAACAUCUUGUCCAUGGUGUCACUGUGUUUGUUUUGGCAUAUGGAGUGGAUGAAGAGCCCUUUAACGACGCCAUUGAAGACACCGGCGUGGUGGUUUAUGUCCUGAGGAACAAACUUCAAGUACAGAGGCAGAAGACAUUGGAAUCAUCUUGGAGGCAUCAAUGUGCUGCAGGACCUGGAUGAUGUGGUUUUGGAUGUCGCCAUGCUUUGGACUGAUGUGUACCCUCAACCUCACUUUUGCUCAAAGCUCCACUCCACUUUUGAGGUACUGAAAGAUAAUCAUGGAACUGGAUGAAGAUGAACUUUCCAACAAGGGGCAUGCGCUGAAAAACAGACUCUUACAGACGGUCAGAGGGCCGGGUGAGCAGUGGCUUCAGAAAUGCAUUACAGACGAUGUUAUGGCAUAACUUACUACAUGAAUGUCAUUGUUCAACAUUUGUUCA